GAUGAACGCUGGCGGCGUGCCUAAUACAUGCAAGUCGAGCGAACGGACGAGAAGCUUGCUUCUCUGAUGUUAGCGGCGGACGGGUGAGUAACACGUGGAUAACCUACCUAUAAGACUGGGAUCACUUCGGGAAACCGUAGCUAAUACCGGAUCAUAUUUUGAACCGCAUGGUUCAAAAGUGAAAGACGGUCUUGCUGUCACUUAUAGAUGGUUCCGCGCUGCAUUAGCUAGUUGGUAAGGUAACGGCUUACCAAGGCAACGAUGCAUAGCCGACCUGAGAGGGUGAUCGGCCACACUGGAACUGAGACACGGUCCAGACUCCUACGGGAGGCAGCAGUAGGGAAUCUUCCGCAAUGGGCGAAAGCCUGACGGAGCAACGCCGCGUGAGUGAUGAAGGUCUUCGGAUCGUAAAACUCUGUUAUUAGGGAAGAACAUAUGUGUAAGUAACUGUGCACAUCUUGACGGUACCUAAUCAGAAAGCCACGGCUAACUACGUG
rnacentral:rRNA from 1 species